rnacentral:rRNA from 1 species
CGGACGGGUGAGUAACACGUGGGUAACCUGCCCCGAUGAUUGGGACAACCCGAGGAAACUCGGGCUAAUACCGAAUGUGCCCUCCAGCCGUAAGGCCGGCGGGGAAAGGAAGCUUCGGCCUCCGCAUCGGGAUGGGCCCGCGGCCCAUUAGCUUGUUGGUGAGGUAACGGCUCACCAAGGCAACGAUGGGUAGCUGGUCUGAGAGGACGAUCAGCCACACUGGGACUGAGACACGGCCCAG